rnacentral:rRNA from 1 species
CCUACGGGGGGCAGCAGUGGGGAAUAUUGGACAAUGGGGGGAACCCUGAUCCAGCCAUGCCGCGUGUGUGAAGAAGGCCCUCGGGUUGUAAAGCACUUUCAGUGAGGAAGAACGCCUGGUGGUUAAUACCCAUCAGGAAAGACAUCACUCACAGAGGAAGCACCGGCUAACUCCGUGCCAGCAGCCGCGGUAAUACGGAGGGUGCGAGCGUUAAUCGGAAUUACUGGGCGUAAAGCGCGCGUAGGUGGCUUGAUAAGCCGGUUGUGAAAGCCCCGGGCUCAACCUGGGAACGGCAUCCGGAACUGUCAAGCUAGAGUGCAGGAGAGGAAGGUAGAAUUCCCGGUGUAGCGGUGAAAUGCGUAGAGAUCGGGAGGAAUACCAGUGGCGAAGGCGGCCUUCUGGACUGACACUGACACUGAGGUGCGAAAGCGUGGGUAGCAAACAGGAUUAGAUACCCUGGUAGUC